CCUACGGGUGGCAGCAGUGGGGAAUAUUGGACAAUGGGGGGAACCCUGAUCCAGCCAUGCCGCGUGUGUGAAGAAGGCCCUCGGGUUGUAAAGCACUUUCAGUGAGGAAGAACGCCUGGUGGUUAAUACCCAUCAGGAAAGACAUCACUCACAGAAGAAGCACCGGCUAACUCCGUGCCAGCAGCCGCGGUAAUACGGAGGGUGCGAGCGUUAAUCGGAAUUACUGGGCGUAAAGCGCGCGUAGGUGGCUUGAUAAGCCGGUUGUGAAAGCCCCGGGCUCAACCUGGGAACGGCAUCCGGAACUGUCAAGCUAGAGUGCAGGAGAGGAAGGUAGAAUUCCCGGUGUAGCGGUGAAAUGCGUAGAGAUCGGGAGGAAUACCAGUGGCGAAGGCGGCCUUCUGGACUGACACUGACACUGAGGUGCGAAAGCGUGGGUAGCAAACAGGCUUAGAUACCCGGGUAGUC
rnacentral:rRNA from 1 species